rnacentral:rRNA from 1 species
AAGGGUGAACCUGCGGAAGGAUCAUUA